rnacentral:lncRNA from 1 species
CUUUACUUUUCAGUAUAAUAGAGAUAUAUUCGUGUGACCAUUGACUAUAUGGGACAUAAAAAAUACAAUUAUCUGCUAUUAAUUAGUGAUUAUCACAGUGCUCCUGAGGGCCAACUGCCACCAAAAGAAAUUGGACCUUCAUGAUGCAAACUCUAAAAGGCACAAAUUACAGAAGGUUUAUUUCCUGAGGAGGGUGAAAGAGGGCAUCUACCCUUUAAGGCUAUGUAUAUCUGAGUGUUUUUCUUGGGCAAGCAUGCCUGAGGACCAGACCCAUGGGUCCCUCCACCAGAAGAGCAGAAUAAACCACUUGCUUG